GAGGGGUCCGCGGCCGAUUAGGUUGUUGGUAGGGUAACGGCCUACCAAGCCUCUGAUCGGUAGCCGGCCUGAGAGGGCACACGGCCACACUGGCACUGAAACACGGGCCAGACUCCUACGGGAGGCAGCAGUGGGGAAUCUUGCACAAUGGGGGAAACCCUGAUGCAGCGACGCCGCGUGAGCGAUGAAGCCCUUCGGGGUGUAAAGCUCUUUUGGCGGGGAAAAUCAUGCUGGUACCCGCUGAAUAAGCUGCGGCUAACUACGUGCCAGCAGCCGCGGUAAUACGUAGGCAGCAAGCGUUGUUCGGAAUUACUGGGCGUAAAGCGUGUGUAGGCGGUUGGGUAAGUCUGUCGUGAAAUCUCCCGGCUUAACUGGGAGGGUGCGGCGGAAACUGCCUGGCUGGAGUGCGGAAGAGGAGAGUGGAAUUCCCGGUGUAGCGGUGAAAUGCGUAGAUAUCGGGAGG
rnacentral:rRNA from 1 species